UUGCACCGCGCCUUCUCCUUAAAUUUUGGCCUCUGCUUUUUAUUUUUUUUCUCCCUUCCCACUCCUCUUUUGUUAACAGGUUCAGGAAAAUGGCUUGAGCAGGAACCAGGCGGGUAAGUAUCGGUUUCAGAUCGGCCUUUGGAUUAAAUUAUCCUUUCUUUCUUUGUUUUUCUAAGGAAAAGAAAAUCGGAUAUUUUAGCUAUUAUUCCAGAAGGGGAAAGUAACCCCUUGCAGGAAGGAUCGAACGGGUGAAUAAAGAGUGGAGGCGUUUGGAAAAGGGAAGGAGCCCCUAAAUUUAUCCAGUGACCCCAGAUCUAGAGAGAAGGCGGAACCCAGCAGAGGAAAAGAGCUGGGCUGGAACAAAAUCCCGUGAAGAGGAAUCGCUUGUUGUGGCCCAGGCCCCGAUCCCUCUGUUCGUUGGUACUGUGGGCGCUUCCUUCUGAGUAAACCUGGCAAUAAGCGGCCUGUUUGAGGCGAACGUGAUCUA